UAUGAAAGUAUAACCUGCCUUCC
rnacentral:piRNA from 1 species